GGCUGUGGCUCAGUAGCAGAGCACUUCCUUUGUCUGCAGAAGGUCCUAGGUUCAAGCCACAGCAUCGCCA